GAUGAACGCUGGCGGCGUGCCUAAUACAUGCAAGUCGAGCGAACAGAUGAGGAGCUUGCUUCUCUGACGUUAGCGGCGGACGGGUGAGUAACACGUGGAUAACCUACCUAUAAGACUGGGAUAACUUCGGGAAACCGGAGCUAAUACCGGAUAAUAUAUUGAACCGCAUGGUUCAAUAGUGAAAGACGGUCUUGCUGUCACUUAUAGAUGGAUCCGCGCUGCAUUAGCUAGUUGGUAAGGUAACGGCUUACCAAGGCAACGAUGCGUAGCCGACCUGAGAGGGUGAUCGGCCACACUGGAACUGAGACACGGUCCAGACUCCUACGGGAGGCAGCAGUAGGGAAUCUUCCGCAAUGGGCGAAAGCCUGACGGAGCAACGCCGCGUGAGUGAUGAAGGUCUUCGGAUCGUAAAACUCUGUUAUUAGGGAAGAACAAAUGUGUAAGUAACUAUGCACGUCUUGACGGUACCUAAUCAGAAAGCCACGGCUAACUACGUG
rnacentral:rRNA from 1 species